CUAAAUACAUAGUGGACAAAGAAAUUCUGACUUUUUCAUUAUCUCAGGUGCAGAGAGAGAAAAAGCAGAGAACCUGAGAGCAAGAGCACUCUGUACACCUGCAGUUCCCAACAACUUCCAUUUAGAGACAUACUGCCUCUGACAGGGAAGAUGGAACAGAGCCAUCAUGGCUGAAACUAUGCUGUUUGUGUGUUUUUUGUGCCGCACCCAUCCAAUGGUUUAAUAUAUGGCACAGCUACUUGGAUGUGAUUUGGUGAUUGGGAAAGAACAUAGGUGAACUAUACUGAUAAGCAUCUAGGAAUAGCCGGAGUGCUGUGCACAGAUAAAAAUACAAGAUAGACCCUGCAGGCUUGGAGUGUAAAAAGCAAGUCUAAGUAAAAGGAGAAGAGAAAAUAGAUGAAUGGAGGAAGUUUGCUUUAGAAAAGCCAAGAUGAAGCACUGAAUCUUGAGGAGUCUUUUGAAGGAAGGUAACACACAGGCCAAUUAAUUGCCAGAAGCAAGGUUGCCAUACUGAAACUACCCAUUCACUUAUAAAUUAACUGUGUUAAUGCUGGGUUGAUUCUGCAGCCAAAUGCUUUAGUUAAUGGAGCUCUUAUCCCACACCACUCCACUGAAAGUUGUGCAAUAACCAUGAAAUGAA